AAAUUGAAGAGUUUGAUCAUGGCUCAGAUUGAACGCUGGCGGCAGGCCUAACACAUGCAAGUCGGACGGUAGCACAGAGAGCUUGCUCUUGGGUGACGAGUGGCGGACGGGUGAGUAAUGUCUGGGGAUCUGCCCGAUAGAGGGGGAUAACCACUGGAAACGGUGGCUAAUACCGCAUAAUGUCGCAAGACCAAAGAGGGGGACCUUCGGGCCUCUCACUAUCGGAUGAACCCAGAUGGGAUUAGCUAGUAGGCGGGGUAAUGGCCCACCUAGGCGACGAUCCCUAGCUGGUCUGAGAGGAUGACCAGCCACACUGGAACUGAGACACGGUCCAGACUCCUACGGGAGGCAGCAGUGGGGAAUAUUGCACAAUGGGCGCAAGCCUGAUGCAGCCAUGCCGCGUGUAUGAAGAAGGCCUUCGGGUUGUAAAGUACUUUCAGCGGGGAGGAAGGCGGUGAGGUUAAUAACCUUGCCGAUUGACGUUACCCGCAGAAGAAGCACCGGCUAACUCCGUGCCAGCAGCCGCGGUAAUACGGAGGGUGCAAGCGUUAAUCGGAAUUACUGGGCGUAAAGCGCACGCAGGCGGUCUG
rnacentral:rRNA from 1 species